rnacentral:rRNA from 1 species
GACGAACGCUGGCGGCGUGCUUAACACAUGCAAGUCGAACGGAAAGGCCCCUUUGGGGGUACUCGAGUGGCGAACGGGUGAGUAACACGUGAGUAACCUGCCCUUGACUUCGGGAUAACUUCAGGAAACUGGGGCUAAUACCGGAUAGGAAUCCUUGCUGCAUGGUGGGGGGUGGAAAGCUUCGGCGGUUUUGGAUGGACUCGCGGCUUAUCAGCUUGUUGGUGGGGUAGUGGCUUACCAAGGCUUUGACGGGUAGCCGGCCUGAGAGGGCGACCGGCCACAUUGGGGCUGGGAUACGGCCCAGACUCCUACGGGGGGCAGCAGUGGGGAAUAUUGCACAAUGGGCGGAAGCCUGAUGCAGGAACGCCGCGUGCGGGAUGACGGCCUUCGGGUUGUAAACCGCUUUCAGCAGGGGCGAAGCUUGUGGUGACGGUACCUGCAGAAGAAGCACCGGCUAACUACGUG